UGCUUCAAACAAAGCAGAUGCUGGUAUUUCUUCAUUCACACAGUUGCUGUACAGCUGCCAAUCUGUCUUCUGACUACUUUGACAGUCCAAAAUCUGAGUUAUGGAGAAAAGAACUGGAGCCUUGAGCAUUUUCUUAGCAGUUUGCUUCGUCCAAAUAGGUAUCCCAGCCCUGGGCCAGAGUACGCAGACGCUGCUCUGUUUUAACUGUACCCUUGGACAACAAUGCUUGGAGCCAACCCUGGUGAGCUGUAAGGAAGGAGAGAGGUGUGGCACCAUGAAGGGACUUUCAGAUUUCAAAGUGCAUGAAUCCAUCUAUGCGAGAGGCUGCAUCCCGGCAACCAAAUGCAAUAAGUUGGACAGGGCUAUCUACUCAGAUGUUCCCUACCGGGUCAAAGUCUCCUGUUGUGAUAGCCAUCUCUGCAAUGGGAGUAACUCCUGGGCAUCCCACAAUUCAGCCACAUUCUUCUUCUUACUGGUUGUGACCACAACUAUAGCCGUUCUGCUUGCUGCUUGCUCUUGAGAUACAAAAUCCACCUGCUUCUUCCCGCAGUCACAGCAACGACUGAUCCGCUAAACAUCAACAGUUAGAAACUUUACUAUAGGGGCUAGAUAAAAAGUUAGCGUUCUGUUGGAAGUCUGGUAGAUUCAGUGCUAGUGCACAUCGUACAGGUGGUCCUCACUUAUCUGCCACAAUUGGGAGUGGAAACUCUGUCUCUAAGUGAUGGGGUCAUUAAGUGAAUCACUGCAGAACCUUAAGCGCAACUUUCCGUGACCACGACCUGCAACUUCCUGCCAGUUCUCCAUUGACUUUGCUUGUUGGAAGCCGGCUGUGAAAGUCACAAAUGACAAUCAUGUAACCGCAAGGAUGCUGCAAUGCCCACAAGUUCAAGGCUUGGCCAUAAAUCUCCUUUUUCAGCACUGUUGUAACUUCAAACCAUCACUGAAUAAGGCAAUCAGCAAGUGAGGGCUACCUGUAGUUGAGAAUACACAUACUUACUGCAAUAUAAUUUCUAUAAAAUGUAUUAGGUGUCAACUCGCAAAGCUCCCCUGGCCUGCCCUCGAGUUGCCAUAGGCCAGAGGGGAUGGGAAAUGGCGAAAUGGCACAGCAGAUGCACAUUCCACACUUAUCUCUCUCAAGGCUGUAUCCCAGGGUUACCUACAGCAGCCAAGGGGAGUGACCUCUACAACCUGAGAAAUUACUCUGUUAGCAAAUGUGAUUGAUGACACAUCCUGCAGGGAGAGGGGAAACAGGGUCAUAAUUGGAGCGUAAAUUAUGUAUGGUCACAGCUGGCUUCACUUGGGAAGGUUCCAACAUGAGGGUCCUAAUAAAUAACUGGAUUUCUUUUGAAACUUGGCUCGAGAGUCAUGAUUUAAUUAGGGUAUCCACUGGAACCCUAACAGCAGGGCUUGCUUCAAAGUAAGCAUGGCUAGAAUUUGGUUAGAAAUUAAUAGUCAAAGAUUAUAAUAAUUGUGCUCCAAUGACUCGGGGGAAACUGCUUUUGUGAAAGGCUGCCAAUUUUUGUCUCUACAACAUGAAGACCAUCAAAACACCGAGCCACUUCAAAGAGUCUUGCAAUUGCUAAUUCAGCUAAUUCCAUUAAGAGGUGUAGUGGCUCAGUGUCUUAACAACGUUGGAGAUGGUCUCAGUUCCAGCUGUUUGAGCCCUAGCAUUGCGUGGCAGAGUGAGCUCCCGACACUCGCCUCAGCUUCUGUCCACCUAACAGUUCAGAAGUGUGUUCUAUGCAAGUAGAUAGGAAAGUAUCAUUGGGAAGUUGAUGCUCUGUGCAGGCAUUCAGACUCCUGAUGGCUCUGAACCUUCCUGGUUGUAAGACUCAUUUGCAAAGCAGCUCCAGGAAGGGAGGGGACUUUGAGUGAUGCUGCAGGAAGAGCCACUUGUCUUUCUCUCUGGUGCAAAGCCAGCUCACCCUCUUUAUGGCGCACCUUGGGAAGCACGCAAGCAUGUCCUAUUACAGAGCAGGAACCUUGGCAGUGUUCUGACCUAGGCUUCCCAAAAGCAUGAAGCCGACUCCUCAUCCCGAUAAAACCCCUUUUAUUUAGUUUAAAGGGAAUUCCUCUCCAGCAAAGUCCUGGCCAACAGUCUUUCCAGAGAUUUCACAGCUACAGACCGUUAUCAGGCUUGGAGAACUCCCAGGCUAAUAUCUUCCAAACGUCAUGCUGGAGCAGACAAUACUUGGCAAGAAGUCAGGAACAGAUCUUCACUCUAAUGAAUUGGACUAAUUGUCUCCUGCAAACUCCCCUCCCUUUUCACUCCUUUUUAUGCCCUAUGAGAGGGGCCAUUCACCGUCCACCUGUGGCUUUACUCCUGAGUCGACCCUUGUUCCUUAGCCUGGUCCCUUCUCCUGGCAGCUCUGCGUAUGUGCACAGGCUCCAGCUAUUCUUCUGCCCCACUGAUGUCUCACUCCAAAGGCAGCUGACAACUGUCAGACGGCCCUGGCCCCAUCUCUGCCUCCGAUGCAGAGCACUGAUCAGAGCCUUCCCAAGACUCCAGGACUGACCCAUGUUCCCCCCGCAUCUCCUCACUGUCUGAGUCUGCCACCAGCUCUGCUGGCCGCUGGCGGGCCAAAACAGGCAGGCCAAACUACUACUUUGCAUAGCAUUGUGGUCUCCUUGCUACUGUAACAACGCCAUACACUAAUAAUAAUAAUAAUAAUAAUAAUAAUAAUAAUAAUAAUAAUAAUAAUAAUAAUAAUAAUAAUAAUAGCUAACUCCAUUUAAAAACAGUUGGAACUGUAACUUCUAAUUAGGAUGGAAAUGUAGAUCUUUGACCUUGACACAUGCUUGAUAUCAUGCACCUUUGCGGCAAAGAAACUUGGGGAGACCAAUGAUGCAGAGUAUCAGCACACAUCCUUAGAACUCGAUAAAAUCAUAGGACUGGAAGGGACCUUCAAUCCCAUGUAUUUACUUAACGAUAAGCAGGUUGUUAUUAUUAUGAUGAUGUUUAUUUUCCACCCGUCUCAUAUCCAAGGACUCUUGGAUGUCAACGUUGUUUCAAUAAAGUUUCAAUAAAGUUUUUUU